UACUUUUUAAUCUGUGGGUUAAAGUGUAUUAAUUUAGUAUUCUGUGAUUUUAUUUUUUUUCUUUCAUCACCUCUUUUGUUAACUUUUAGUUAAAUUAUCUACAAAUUUUUUUUUUUAUCAAAUAUCCACUUUAGUACAACGAAAAAAAUUAGUAGAGUGAAUAACAAAAAGAAAAAAAAUAAAACCACAAGGUACGAAAGUGAUACACUUUAAACAACAGGGUACUAAAGUGAGAAAGUACGAAACCAUAUGAAUGGUAUUUGAAGUUUUUACAAAAAUUAUAUACACCACACCAUAGUUAGUUAAUUCAUGAAUUAUUAAAAAUCUGAAUAAAACAGUUUGUAUGUGAUUUAUUUAAAAAAAAAGAAUAAAAUGCAUUUUUUUUUUGUUAGAUUUAUUAUUCACGAAUAAUUCGCAUAUGCAGAACUAUUCGGCCAAAAAAAGGUGUAAAAUUUUUGGAUAAAAUUGUUUUUCCGAAUUAUUGACAAAUUAUUGACGAAUUAUUCACUAAUUAUUCGCUAAUUAUUGAAAAACCUUAUGAACUUUCGAAA
rnacentral:lncRNA from 1 species